AGGUGACAUCGCUGGCCGGGCUCCCUCGGCAUCACUCACACGGCAAACUCCGGAAUGCAUUAUUUGGAGUCAUGAAGAUUGUCGCUGAGCUAACAUCUGUGCCAAUCUUCUAUUUUACGUGGGACGCUGCCGCAGCAUGGCUUGAUGAGUGGUGUAUAGGUCCAUGCUGAGAACCCAAACCCGCGAACCCUGGGCCACUGAAGCAGAGCAUGUAAACUUAACCUCUACCCGACCAGGCCAGCCCCUCACCCUCUGUUUUACCCACCUGGUCACCAGAGCCGGCUCAUCCAUCAGACACAGGAGACCCAGGGCCCGUGACACUCUGAGGGACCCACAGAAUGGCUUCAUUUUAAUGUCUCAAAAUCAGGAGAAAAAGAGAAAUAAAAGAACCCCAGUGCAGUCGCGC
rnacentral:lncRNA from 1 species